rnacentral:pre_miRNA from 1 species
UUAACUUAAAUUUGUAUGGAGUUCAAACAUUUGCUGACGUUUGCCGCUAGGGGCGCUUUUCCAAUUGCAUACAAAUUUGAGCUA